AUGUCGAGGGCUAAAUCUACAGAGGGAUUGGGGUGCCUUGAUAGCAAUAAUACUCCAGCCCUCUGCAUGAAGCCUGGGAAGAGCAAGCACAUCAGAACGAGGAUGGGGGAUGCCCCAGGUAGUCUCAAAUCUUGCUGUAAAAUUGCACUUAACCUCCAAAACCAGACUGUGGCUUGGGUCUCCCAGUGCUUUUUGCUGCUGUUUUGGCCUUCCAGGUGCCUUGUGCUUGUGAAUGCCUCCACCUGCAGCUUAUUUUUCUCACCUGGUGAGUUGAACUUGCCACAGCAUGUAAGCCCCUUGCAGAGGCUUAGGUGGUUGCUGAAGGAGGUGUGGAUGGUUGUGUGCUGGCUGGAGCAAGGAGCACCUCUUGGUGGGGCCUUUCUUCCUGUUGGGUUAGUGCACUGUGUCCCAGGCAGCAGCCAGCCUUGCGAGGAGGCUUGAACCUGUGCCAUGGAGCUGAUGGGGACAUCCAGAGAUCCCUACAUCUAAGGGUGCUACCAGCCCUUGGGGAGUUGAUUUUUUCACCUGCUGCCUCGCAUGAUGAUGAACGUGAGGUAUCUGAACUCCAGAGCGUGGCUCAGGCUGCGGUUUCUGUAACACAAACCUCUCUGUUUCUACAAUUUGCUAUCACAAAAGGGUAAAUGUUUCCCACUGAGAUGUUAAAGAAACCAUUAACUCCGUUGGGUGUUUGUGCUCUUUGUUGUGACUGCACCUUCGCUCUGACAUGAUAGCAGCACAUUGUUAUUUCCUGCCCAAAGAGGACUGAAUCUGAGCAGUGCUGCCGUCUCCUAUGCUGUGAGCACGUGUCUGAUCAAAGCUGUGCAGUGGGAAGUUUCUGGCUCUCCUUUACAAGCAAAACACUGCUGCUGAAGUCAGAUCCAGCUUGUUUGAAAGAAUUGCUCGGCCACACUUAAGAAGGUGCUUGGUGGCCCUUGGGUGCCUAGGCCAAACAGCAGGUCAAAGAUCAGAGCUUCCACUGCUGGUCUGGCCUCCAGCUAUCCAGGGAAAGGAACUGGCAAUGCUCUGUCAGAAACCAGGGAAGCUCAGUUUCCCCCUCCUAUCCUUCCACAGCUUACUUUCCAGGGAUUUCAGCCAUUUCCUUCACAAGGUGUCUCCUUGCAAUGGAGGUGCCAGUGAACACAAAUGUGCCUGCAUACCUGUGCUUUGUGAUAUACCAGUUUGUCUGCUGCUGAACUCUAGAAGUCGCACCAAAAUGCGCAUUCAUCUUCUGUCUUGUUUUGUAACGUGUGGAAUGUUGCGUCUUAGGCACUUGCUUCUGAACAACUAUAAUAACAGUGGUCUCGCCAAAGAAAUAAUUGAUAUUUGUUUGGGGAUGACUGAGACUCUCUUGCUUGUUGCUUUAUUUGUGUGGGCUUAAAUCCAAACAGUUCUGAUUGGGGAAAAAGUGAUGAUGUUCUUAGCGAGUCAAUAUUUCCAAACGGCUUCAAGGGGGAAAAGGUUGGAGGGUAUUAAUAUCCAGAGCAAUGGCUUCUUAGUCUCUCUUCUCUUCAGCUGACCUAAAGUAGAGAUAUAUUCUUGUUAUCCAUGACUACCUGGUAGGGUAGGAUGACAUCUCGUCAUUGUUUGUGUCUGCAGCUCACUGCCAUCUUUGUCUGUAGCAGCAAUGUGUUCUGGGGUGCCGAAUAUUUUCAGAUAUUCCUUAGUAAAAGCAAUGAAUUCAUAUUUAAUGAAGCCUAAGUGUCAGGGAGAGGCAUUUCAAUUAUACUUCUGACUAAAAUAAUAUUUCAGAACAUACAGAGAGCAGCAAGAAAUAAUUGUACAUUCCUUAUUUAUAUGGUAACUAAUAAUGGGAAAUAUUUUUUUCUUCCAUAACUUGACUUGGUCUCAUGAAACCAAUUUUCUUCAUUUUUCUGUGGAUUGUGGUUUCAGCUGCUGCUUUUUUUCUGAGAUGGAAAUCUGUUAAUGAGAGAUUUUUCUUCUUCAGUUCAAUUACUUCUAGUAAAUUCAGAGCAGAGUGACAGGACUUCAAUUUGAGCCGAAUUUCCUAAUGUUCUGCUCUGUGUGCAAAGCAGAAAAAUUUGUUUGUCAGAUAAUGGAUCGCUCAUUACAAGAAUCACUAAGACAAAAUAAAUAUUGCUUUUAAGAUGUCCUCA
rnacentral:lncRNA from 1 species